GACGAACGCUGGCGGCGUGCUUAACACAUGCAAGUCGAACGGAAAGGCCCUGCUUUUGUGGGGUGCUCGAGUGGCGAACGGGUGAGUAACACGUGAGUAACCUGCCCUUGACUUUGGGAUAACUUCAGGAAACUGGGGCUAAUACCGGAUAGGAGCUCCUGCUGCAUGGUGGGGGUUGGAAAGUUUCGGCGGUUGGGGAUGGACUCGCGGCUUAUCAGCUUGUUGGUGGGGUAGUGGCUUACCAAGGCUUUGACGGGUAGCCGGCCUGAGAGGGUGACCGGCCACGGUGGGAGAGUGGAUCGGAAUGGGGUGAGGCUUGAGGAAGCAGCGGGGGAUGUGGGAGUGAGGGCGGAAGUCGGAAGCCGGAAUGCCGCGGGGGGGGUGAGGGCCGUCGGGUAGGAAACAGGUACCGCCUGGGAAAAAGCGUGCGUGAAGGUAGUGUGUAGAGAGGAAGCGCAUAACUCGGUG
rnacentral:rRNA from 1 species